CCUCAGCGCUGUUACCAGGGCCAUCUAAAAAAAAAGUUGCGCUACGGACGAGAAGUCGAAGAGGAAGCAGAGAAGAGGGACUCCCCGAGCUGCUCGACGCCGAACACGUUGGGUAACACGGUCCACUUCGGUCGAGGUGGUGGAUGCCAGGCUGGUGUCUGGCUUUCAUGCCAGGGAGCUGGAGCUGGUCAUAGCUGGAACAGCUGACAUUGACUUAUCACACUGGACGAACAACACAGAGUACACAGGAGGUAUCAUCAACUGUGUCAACUCUACUUCCUGUCCCAAUAAAGGGGAAUCAAACACUGUCUUUCUUCCAAUCUUAGUUGACUACAAGUAGUUAGGUCAGCUGCCCAAUAACACACAUUUGCAUUCCUAUGUUACUUAUUCAAAAACCUUGGAGGCAGUUUAAUCUUUUCUACAAAUAUACAAGUUAAAGUACAAAACAUAACAUAAAUUACAAAGAUGGAAAAACUAAAAACCAAAUCAUAAAGACAUAAAAUCCUAA